rnacentral:rRNA from 1 species
AACGAACGCUGGCGGCAGGCUUAACACAUGCAAGUCGAGCGCCCCGCAAGGGGAGCGGCAGACGGGUGAGUAACGCGUGGGAAUCUACUCAUCUCUACGGAAUAACGCAUGGAAACGUGUGCUAAUACCGUAUACGUCCUUCGGGAGAAGGAUUUAUCGGAGAUGGAUGAGCCCGCGUUGGAUUAGCUAGUUGGGGGGGUAAAGGCCUACCAAGGCGACGAUCCAUAGCUGGUCUGAGAGGAUGAUCAGCCACACUGGGACUGAGACACGGCCCAGACUCCUACGGGAGGCAGAAGUGGGGAAUAUUGAACAAUGAGCGCAAGCCUGAGCCAGCCAUGCCGCGUGAGUGAUGAAGGCCCUAGGGUUGUAAAGCUCUUUCACCGGUGAAGAUAAUGACGGUAACCGGAGAAGAAGCCCCGGCUAACUUCGUGCCAGCCGCCGCAGUAACAC